GGUUAAGUGAAUAAGGGCGCACGGUGGAUGCCUUGGCACUAGGAGCCGAUGAAGGACGGGACUAACACCGAUAUGCUUCGGGGAGCUGUAAGUAAGCUUUGAUCCGGAGAUUUCCGAAUGGGGAAACCCAGCAUCUUUUAUAGGAUGUUACUUUUCAGUGAAUACAUAGCUGAUUAGAGGUAGACGCAGAGAACUGAAACAUCUAAGUACCUGCAGGAAGAGAAAGAAAAUUCGAUUCCCUGAGUAGCGGCGAGCGAAACGGGAAAAGCCCAAACCAAGAGGCUUGCCUCUUGGGGUUGUAGGACUCCGAUAUGGUAGUCCAGUGAGAUAGUCGAAGGACCUGGAAAGGUCUGCUAGAAAGGGUAAAAGCCCCGUAGACAAAAUUUGACUGGCACCUAGGAGGAUCCUGAGUACGGCGGAACACGAGGAAUUCCGUCGGAAUCCGGGAGGACCAUCUCCCAAGGCUAAAUACUCCCUAGUGACCGAUAGUGAACCAGUACCGUGAGGGAAAGGUGAAAAGCACCCCGGAAGGGGAGUGAAAUAGAUCCUGAAACCGUGUGCCUACAACAAGUUAGAGCCCGUUAAUGGGUGAUAGCGUGCCUUUUGUAGAAUGAACCGGCGAGUUACGAUUACUUGCGAGGUUAAGUUGAAAAAACGGAGCCGUAGCGAAAGCGAGUCUGAAUAGGGCGAAUGAGUAAGUGGUCGUAGACCCGAAACCAUGUGAUCUACCCAUGUCCAGGUUGAAGGUGCGGUAAAACGCACUGGAGGACCGAACCCACGUACGUUGAAAAGUGCGGGGAUGAGGUGUGGGUAGCGGAGAAAUUCCAAACGAACUUGGAGAUAGCUGGUUCUCUCCGAAAUAGCUUUAGGGCUAGCCUCAGAGUAAGAAUGAUGGAGGUAGAGCACUGUUUGGACUAGGGGCCCAUCUCGGGUUACCGAAUUCAGAUAAACUCCGAAUGCCAUCCAUUCAUCUCUGGGAGUCAGACUGUGAGUGAUAAGAUCCAUAGUCGAAAGGGAAACAGCCCAGACCACCAGCUAAGGUCCCCAAAUAACUAUUAAGUGGAAAAGGAUGUGGGGUUGCACAGACAACUAGGAUGUUGGCUCAGAAGCAGCCACCAUUUAAAGAGUGCGUAAUAGCUCACUAGUCGAGUGACCCUGCGCCGAAAAUGUACCGGGGCUAAAUAGUUUACCGAAGCUGUGGAACACACCAUAAGGUGUGUUGGUAGGAGAGCGUUCUAAGGGCGUUGAAGGUAGAUCGUGAGGACUGCUGGAGCGCUUAGAAGUGAGAAUGCCGGUAUGAGUAGCGAAAGACAGGUGAGAAUCCUGUCCACCGAAUGACUAAGGUUUCCUGGGGAAGGCUCGUCCGCCCAGGGUUAGUCGGGACCUAAGCCGAGGCCGAAAGGCGUAGGCGAUGGAUAACAGGUUGAUAUUCCUGUACCCGUUGUUUUUGUUUGAGCAAUGGAGGGACGCAGGAGGCUAAGGAAUCAGACGAUUGGAAAUGUCUGUCCAAGCAACAAGUCUUGAUGUGAGUCAAAUGCUUACGUCUUCAAGGACAAGUUGUGAUGGGGAGGGAAAUAAUAGUACCGAAGUUCCUGAUGUCACACUGCCGAGAAAAGCUUCUAGUGAGAAAACAAUGGCCCGUACCGCAAACCGACACAGGUAGUCGAGGAGAGAAUCCUAAGGUGAGCGAGAGAACUCUCGUUAAGGAACUCGGCAAAAUGACCCCGUAACUUCGGGAGAAGGGGUGCUGAUCUAACGAUCAGCCGCAGUGAAUAGGCCCAAGCGACUGUUUAUCAAAAACACAGGUCUCUGCAAAAUCGAAAGAUGACGUAUAGGGGCUGACGCCUGCCCGGUGCUGGAAGGUUAAGAGGAGUGCUUAGCGUAAGCGAAGGUACGAAUUGAAGCCCCAGUAAACGGCGGCCGUAACUAUAACGGUCCUAAGGUAGCGAAAUUCCUUGUCGGGUAAGUUCCGACCCGCACGAAAGGCGUAACGAUUUGGGCACUGUCUCAACGAGAGACUCGGUGAAAUUUUAGUACCUGUGAAGAUGCAGGUUACCCGCGACAGGACGGAAAGACCCCAUGGAGCUUUACUGCAGUUUGAUAUUGAGUGUUUGUACCACAUGUACAGGAUAGGUAGGAGCCGUAGAAGUCGGGACGCUAGUUUCGACAGAGGCGCUGGUGGGAUACUACCCCUGUGUUAUGACCACUCUAACCCGCACCACUAAGCGUGGUGGGAGACAGUGUCAGAUGGGCAGUUUGACUGGGGCGGUCGCCUCCUAAAAGGUAACGGAGGCGCCCAAAGGUUCCCUCAGAAUGGUUGGAAAUCAUUCGCAGAGUGUAAAGGCACAAGGGAGCUUGACUGCGAGACCUACAAGUCGAGCAGGGACGAAAGUCGGGCUUAGUGAUCCGGUGGUUCCGCAUGGAAGGGCCAUCGCUCAACGGAUAAAAGCUACCCUGGGGAUAACAGGCUUAUCUCCCCCAAGAGUCCACAUCGACGGGGAGGUUUGGCACCUCGAUGUCGGCUCGUCGCAUCCUGGGGCUGUAGUCGGUCCCAAGGGUUGGGCUGUUCGCCCAUUAAAGCGGCACGCGAGCUGGGUUCAGAACGUCGUGAGACAGUUCGGUCCCUAUCCGUCGCGGGCGUUGGAAAUUUGAGAGGAUCUGUCCUUAGUACGAGAGGACCGGGAUGGACUUACCGCUGGUGUACCAGUUGUCUCGCCAGAGGCAUCGCUGGGUAGCUAUGUAGGGAAGGGAUAAACGCUGAAAGCAUCUAAGUGUGAAGCCCACCUCAAGAUGAGAUUUCCCAUUUCUUUAAGAAAGUAAGAUCCCUGAGAGAUGAUCAGGUAGAUAGGUCAGAAGUGGAAGUGCAGUGAUGUACGGAGCGGACUGAUACUAAUCGAUCGAGGACUUAACCAA
rnacentral:rRNA from 1 species